rnacentral:tRNA from 1 species
GAGGCAUUAGCUCACAUUGGGUAGAGAGUUAGACCGGCAGUCUACAGGUAACGAGUUCGAGUCUCGUAUGCUCCA